rnacentral:rRNA from 1 species
GCUAACCGCAAGGAGGCAGCUAACCACGGUAGGGUCAGCGACUGGGGUGAAGUCGUAACAAGGUAGCCGUAGGGGAACCUGCGGCUGGAUCACCUCCUUUCUAAGGA